rnacentral:lncRNA from 1 species
AAAACCCGAAAGGGCGAUCCAGGAAAAAGUUAGAGACAUAAAACAGAAAGAAUUUCCCGAUAAGUUGAGUACCCCACCUUGGGGCAACUUAUGCAAAAAUUAGGGAUUAUGGUAAGUAACUGCAUUCUGCUGAUCUUCAGUGAUUUUGGAGACUUGUUUGAGCACAAGGGUUGACAUCAGUUCAUCAUCCCAGCAGCGGUCAAGAGCCCAG